AUCUUUAUGGUUUUUCAAAAUUAUCUAUAAUAAGUAUGUAUGUCCUACAUCAUAAAAGGAAUUAACUUAUAAUAUUAUUAAAAUAGCCUACAGGGAAGUUACUUACGUACAUAUUCAAUUCUCAGCGUUGCUCACAAACUCAACGUCCCAUGGAAACAUAUCUAAAUAAUACUGUCUUCUUGGCAUCUAAUAUUCACUGUUUUUUAAAGUUCUUUUCUCACCAACCCAGAGAUAAGUAAACAUUGUGAUAAAUCCAGAUCUGGGAGCAGUAAAGCCCCAGGUCAGGAAAUUCACAAAAGGUAAACCCUGCAGGUGGCAGAAAAGUUUGUGAAAUUGUUCUGGGAAAACUGUUUCCCUCUAACUGCAAAGGACGAGAAUCUACUUCUGGGUCAGCUGUGGUUUGAUAUCCCAUUGGGAAUAGAUUUCAGGAGUUUGGGAUGUUUUGUUUUGCCCUUAAUUAGUUUCCUUCACUUUGACAGCAUCACAGGACUAGGGUGCCAUACUCCAACUUGACGUCUGCUGUUGUCACAGAGUAAUUAGUAAUAAGCAUGUUCCCUUUUACAGCCAGAGCGUCUCCGUGUACACAACAGUGUGUGUGUGUACUCUUUGUAAGACCUACCCAAAUAGCAGUGAGUCAGGUUUUAACAAAGGUCUGUAACCAACAAUAUGGAGAGAAUUGAUCCUUAAGUUAACUACCUAAGAAGGACAUCUGGGGGGGUUGGGAAGGUUUGUUUGUUUUUGUUGUUGUUGUUGUUGUUUGUUUUGGUUUGUCUUUGAAAAAUUUGCUUGGUCUUAUUUUUACUGAGGUAUAAUCAACAUGCAACAUUAUAUCAUUAUACCAGAAGCUGAUACAAUGUCAUAUGUUUCAGUGUUUGAUGAGCUUUCUGGCUGGAGAAGUUAUAGAUCAGUCUUCUGGUCUACCUGAGAGCCCCAUACCUUGUAUGUUUCCCUUCUCUAGCUGGGGGCCUAGCACAGAAGCACUUGGUAGAAAUGAGACAACCCAGACUGAAAAUGGAACUUGCUGUGUUACUGAUAGAGAUGAUGGAGGAGUCCAUUACUUGGGCUUAUCUAUUCAUCAUUUCUGUGGUCGGCAUAGAGCAGAUGCGCCAGUGAACUGAGUCACCAGGCUGGAUCCUGGUGAAGAUAAAAAAUCAUGAACACAGAGACACCACCUGUGAAUUAAAGCGUAGUGCAGAAGACGAAAUAUAUACACAGCAUGUUUUUGGUUUGUUGGUGCAUAAUCUUGAUAACCUGCAACACGGGUCUACAUUUUCUCCCUGCUAACCUGCGUCUCCUUACUUUGCUCUGUGUGAGCUCGUGGGCUCCUUAGAUGCAAGACGGAGUAUGAAUUUAACUGACGAAGACCUAUUAAUGAGGAGCUAUAGGUGAAGGAGACGGAGCCCUAUCCUAAAAAGGCCUCAGACACUCAUGAAAAGCUUAAGGACAAGACGGUCUGAAUGGCAAGUGCCAGAUGAAUGCAGUAGAAUCUUAGAGGAAAAAGAGAGGACACAGGGUUUGGAGAGACAAGGAGGAGUCUCUGGCAGGAAGUAAGUGUGAACUAGCUCUUGAGACGAGCGAGACAACCACACUAUGCAGACAGAGCUUGGGCCCCAGUGGAAGUUCUGGGACCCUGAGUGGGGCACAAAAGCAGCAGUAUAAUCCCACUGCUGGGGAGCAAAGGGGUAAACAUGGACACAGAUGCUGGUGUGCCUGUGUGAGCCAAGGACUGGAGGGACCCUUGCCCCAGUGUGAUGGCUUUAUUCUAUCUCUUAACUAGACUAAAGCCCAGAUGGUGAUGGCAGUGAGGAGAGGAGACUCCAAGGUGACUGAGAAGACACUGUCCUAUCCUAGUUGAAUGGGGCUUGAAAUUAACAUAUUAACAUGGACUAGAGAUUUGGAAAGCAAAAAAGCUAGGUUUCUUGUACACUUUUGUUUGUAGACUGAGAUGUGCUAUUUGUGUCUCUGUGCAAUCUUGAAAAUGACAAACUCACUACCUGUUCGUGCUGCUGGCCUGGGAAGGGAGCGUGGGGGAGGCUUUUGUCUCCAGAGCCAUCAUCAGUCCUGCGGUACCUGCGACUUAUCAGAGACUGACUUCCAAGCUGGAGCUGUGCACAGAGCACCACGGGUCUGGACGCUUUCCUACUGCCAAAGUGAACUCAGUACAAACUUCCACCCACUCCAACCAGAGUUGCAAAAUUGGACUACAAAUCUCAGAAAAGCAGAGAGCAUUACCUGUCAGAUGGUUAACUUGUCAUUUGCCUCAGCUCCCCCUGAAUGGGAUGGACAGUCUUCCCUGCCCUGCUUAAUUUGACAUUUCUGUUCCCCUCAUAGGUAUAAAAGAAGAAGUGUUAGAGCAAACAAAAAUUUCUUUUAAUUUCUUUAAUUUCUUUAAAAUUUCUUUUAAUAGUGGGAGAAUGUGUGUUCCAGAA